rnacentral:rRNA from 1 species
UAAGACGAACCGUGCGAACGUUAUUCGGAAUCACUGGGCUUAAAGCGCGUGUAGGCGGGCCGCCACGUCGGCUGCUGAAAUCCCCCGGCUCAACCGGGGAACGGGCACCGAUACGAGCGGCCUCGAGGGGGGUAGGGGGACCUGGAACUUCCGGUGGAGCGGUGAAAUGCGUUGAGAUCGGAAGGAACGCCCGUGGCGAAAGCGAGGUCCUGGACCCUUUCUGACGCUGAGACGCGAAAGCCAGGGGAGCGAACGGGAUUAGAUACCCCGGUAGUCCUGGCCGUAAACGAUGAACACUGGGUAGGGGGCUCGCCGAUGGGCUCCCUGCCGUAGGGAAACCGUGAAGUGUUCCGCCUGGGGAGUAUGGUCGCAAGGCUG